rnacentral:rRNA from 1 species
AAUGAACGCUGGCGGCAUGCCUAACACAUGCAAGUCGAACGAAGGCUUCGGCCUUAGUGGCGCACGGGUGCGUAACGCGUGGGAAUCUGCCCUCAGGUUCGGAAUAACAGCGAGAAAUUGCUGCUAAUACCGGAUGAUAUCGCGAGAUCAAAGAUGUAAUCGCCUGAGGAUGAGCCCGCGUAGGAUUAGCUAGUUGGUGUGGUAAAGGCGCACCAAGGCGACGAUCCUUAGCUGGUCUGAGAGGAUGAUCAGCCACACUGGGACUGAGACACGGCCCAGACUCCUACGGGAGGCAGCAGUGGGGAAUAUUGGACAAUGGGCGAAAGCCUGAUCCAGCAAUGCCGUGUGAGUGAUGAAGGCCUUAGGGUUGUAAAGCUCUUUUACCCGGGAUGAUAAUGACAGUACCGGGAGAAUAAGCUCCGGCUAACUCCGUGCCAGCCGCCGCCGUAA